UCUGAACUUAAGUUUGCCUCGAUUUUCUUAUUUGAGAAAUGGGACUAUGAGUCCUCUCCUCAGGACCGGGGGAGAUGGAGUCCAUAUGGUUCUCUGAGCAAAAGAGGCCAAGAGAACAUGCGCUGCUAUUAUUUUUGAGAAGGGAAGAUCGAGGCUCAGCAUAUCAUGAAGCUGACAAAGUAUGAAACUGGUUAUAAAGUCAGGUCUUUCUGAUUCAAAUUGCCUUAUGCCUCCUUGGAUGUUCGCGGAGAAUCUCCUAUAUGCCAGACCCAGACUAAAGGAGAUUCCACAAUGAAGCUUUCCAUGGUUUCCUGUUGGAUUGGAAGCUCCCCAAGGACAAGAGCCAUAUCAUACCUCUACCUAUCUGAACUUAAAAUUUAGAAAAGUUCCUUGUAAGGAUCUCUGUAAAUAUGUACUAAUGAUGAUGAUGAUGAUGAUGAUGAUGAUGAUGAUGAUAUGGUGCUGGUGGUGAUGAAGAAGCUUAACCAGAUGUUUUGGGAAAUAGAAUUCGUGACUCAUGGUUUGUAAACAAAAUGAUCUUCAUCAAGCCCCCAAUUAAACUGAGAGUCAAGACUCCAAGUUAAGUUCCUUCUCUGAUAUCUAUCUAUUAAUUCUUGAUCUGGAAUUUAAUACUGAAAAUUAUACUUGUUCAUUCAUCUAUUACUGAGACACUUGAGUUAUCUUGGCUAUCAUAAA